rnacentral:rRNA from 1 species
AUUCCAGCUCCAAUAGCGUAUAUUAAAGUUGUUGCGGUAAAAAAGCUCGUAGUUGGAUUUCUACCGAAGAUAGCCGGUCGGGUCUUCGACCUUGUAUCUGGUUUUGUCUUUGGUAUCCUCAUGGGGAACGUUGCUGCGCUUCACUGCGUGGUGCGGUAUCCAUGACUUUUACUUUGAGGAAAUUAGAGUGUUCACGGCAGGCAAACGCCCUGAAUAUAUUAGCAUGGAAUAAUAACAUAGGAUCUUCGUCCUAUUUUGUUGGUUUCUAGGGCUAAGAUAAUGAUUAAUAGGGAUAAUUGGGGGCAUCAGUAUCAACGCGUCAGAGGUGGAAUUCUUGGAUUGCGUUGCGACAAACUACUGCGAAAGCAUUUGCCAAGGAUGUUUUCAUUG